rnacentral:lncRNA from 1 species
ACCGACAGCCUCUCUCUGUCUUCCCCGCAGCACCCGCGUCUCUCUCUCUAUUCUCUCUCUCACUCUUCCCCACGGAUCUGGAUCAGAGGGGGCUCACCGGCCUCUCCCCUCAACGCCGACCACCAGGAGCCUCCUACUAACCGGCCACCACGCUCCACCGGCGGAUCGGAGGAGGGGAGGACCACCCCGGCAUGGCUCUGCCCCGAGGUCGUCGUCGCACCACCACCACGACGAUUGUCUUGGCCGCACCACCACCAGCCUACUCCACCAUGGCGUCUUCUGCAACUGCCCCGUGCUCCCUGGGCAACCAAAUCCAGCCCCACCACUGCCGUGCCCUGCCGUCGUCGACGGGACGAUGCGGCCGUCGUCUCCUUCCUCUGCCCGAGGCUGGUUGAGAUCCUUUCUCUCCGGCUCCGAUUGAGCCCACUACCCCCCAUAUGCUUGCUCUUUGAUGAUCUCCUCCACGCGUCUGGACGCCGUGAUGGCGGAGGUGGAGGAUCCGCUGGUCACGGUGGCAUCUGAUGUCUGUGUCGCACUGGCGGGGAUGGAGCAGCCUCCGGCGGUGGUGGUGUCUGAUGUGGUCUUUCUGGCAUCAUGAUCUGUUGAGUGGAGGUGCAACAGUGUCAGGUCCCAGCGCCGACUGCGAUUCUGGCCUGAUUCAGGCAGAAGGGUCCCGUGGGAGAGCAUUGACACCUUCUCGUCGGAAAUUCGUUGACUGGACCAUCAUAGCCUAGCGAUUCUGGCUGCCUGCAUGUCAAUACAAUGUAGUAGUAUUUGCUAGUAGUCCUGCUACAUGAGUCUAGUUUAUAUUUACAUUUUUAAUGUUUGUUUUCCUUUUUCUAAUUUAGUGCUAGUCUGCUACUCAGUACAUGACUGAAGCAAACUAGUCCAAUUCUAUGUAUGUUUCAUCUUCCUUGCAGAAACUGAAUGAUUGGGUGGUGAAAUAGGUGUUUUCUUUAGUCAACUAACACUGUAACAUUUGUAUGUUACGGUUUUUGGGCGGCGAUUUGAGUUGGAAUAGGAGGAGGAAAGUACAUAAGAGUAUCGAGAGGAUAGUUCUAAUGUUAUUGCUCAAUCCUCUCAAAAUGCAUCUGUGUGGUUUCUGUGUUUUCUUGCAUGCAUAUAAGUAACCAGUUGGCUAGUUUGUUGUCAUAGUUGCACAGAAACACAAAUGUAGUUGGAUCAUGCAUAUACAUAUCUCAGUUGGCUAGCCAACUUAUGAAGUUGCACAGUGAGGGCUAACCAGUUGCACAAGCAAUGGUAUUCAGAUGGAUACACUAUGUAAACCAUGUUCAAGCAAUAUGUGUGUUCUUUUGGUUGCACACUCAUGUGUGCUCUGUUUUCACAAGGCAUGCAUUCAUACAUGAGUUUGCAAAUCAAGGCAGUAAAUAUCCUAGCUGGCUUAGUCACACUUAUGCAGUUGUACAGGGAAGGCUAUAUAGUUGGUUGACAACUAGUUUAGUUUUGGCUCCAAUGCCUAAAUCAUGACCAUGCAGUGUGUAUGCUGAUUUUUUGGUUGCACACUCAUGUGUGAUCUGUUGGUCAUACAGUGCAUCAAGUUGUACACAUUUUGUUUUGUUUUGUAGGUGUGCUUUGGAAAAUCAACAUUACUUGCUUACCUCAUGGCAUUUUUUUGAUAUCAAUUGUUUUUGCUCAUUUUUACUUUUUAAUACGUUUGGUUGCUUCGACUAAUUUGUUUGUUCGCUUUUUUUUCACAGACCAAAAAUGAUUGUAGAAGGAGAUACGGCUCCUAGUGAAGGAGAGGUAUGUUUGCUUUUUUCAUCAUUUUUCAUUUAUCCUUGCAACAGUUUUGUUUUGCAAUUAUAAUAACUAUUUUUGGGGGGUUUUCCUGACCAUAUUCCGUGUUUUGUUUGGCUAUGCAGGGGCCGUAAACAAUUCUUCUUGGCGGAAUUCGAAACAGCCCGCCAAGUGGCAGUCGCGUCGUGCUCAUAUCGAUGGGGAGGCAGAGGAUGAUGAGGUAAGUAUCGUGCAAGGUUUUCGACUCGACGAGUCGUUCUGGGGUAGCGACACUUGACGAUUCAUGCCGUGCCGAUCUAGUCGAGGUGUUUGAGUCGACUUCUAGUUACGACUCAUCGACUAGUCGUGACUAUUCGUUCGACUCGAAAAGAUGAGUAUCGAGCAAGCAGUGUGGGUGGAUUUCCCUUUUUUGCACACACACACAAGUAACUUUUUCCAUGCAUCCUUUAGGUUGGUGACCCAUUCCGCUUCGUGAGACGGCAGAAACGGAAGGCGACCAUGUAGGUUGGAGUUGUGGCUGGAGUUGCCACACCGUCUGCAGCAUCUGCCGAGGUAACAUAAAAUGGCAUUAGGAUUUUUUUUCUACACAAAGAAACCUGGGAUCUUAUUUUUUACACAGUUGCAAAAGAACCAGCUAGGUGUUGGCACCCUGAACUUUUACAGUUGUACACAAAUCAAUUAAGAGUUGGUAUCCUCAACUUUUCAAAUAGUUGCACAUUAGUAUCAUACGAGUUGGCAUCCUCGACUUUCAUAGUUGCACUAGAACCAUUUGGGAGUUGGCAGUCUCAACUUUUUGAAUAGUCUCGUAACAAUAUCACAUGAGUUGGCAUCCGCAACUAUUUUAGUUGCACAAGAACCAAUCAGGAGUUGGCAUCCCCAAUUUUUUAAUAGUUUCACAACAGUGCCACAUGAGUUGACAUCUUCAUCUUCUUUAGUUGCACAAGAACCAUUCAGUAGUUGGCAUCCUCAUGUGUUCACAUGCAUAUGAUUUUCUAGGUGUGCAAAUGCACUUGAAAAUAGUUGUACUACUUAUUUGGAAGAUUAUAAUCUGUUAAAUUCAAUAUUUUUUUGUCUAUUUUCUUGUGUUUAGAUAGGCUAAAUUCAUCAUGUUCCUCAGUUUAAAAUUCAUUACAUAGCUACACAAACAUGCAACAUGAUUUGCAUGCAGGAGUACUUGCAGUUGCACAAAAUAAAUGAUGUAGUUGCACAACAGCCAGCAUAAAGUUUUUUUUUGGAAUUUUGCAUACAGAUUUUUAGCUAAAACCAAAAUGAAUCUGAAAUUAUCUAAAUUGGCAUCUUCUACUUUUAUAUGAGUUGAUGAUGCCAACUACUGAAAUUCAAACCCCACAAGUAGAUGGAUAUGGGAGUGUUGUCAGUUGCACACUUGUACUUGUUAAGUUGCACAAAUACAAGCUAGAGUUGGUUCAUUUUUUCUCAAGCUUCUUUUUUUGCAUCAUGUGCAGGUUUUACAGGUUAUGGGGGUGGAUGAACUGACAAUUCUAAGCUACAAAGUCACAUAUACUACUGUGUGGAAAGAUUAAAGGAAAAACCGUAUACUUCUUGUCUAGUUGGUAGUUAUAUUUUCAUAGUACCUACAAUAUGUUUUUUGCUACAGUGACACCAGUUCUUCUGCAUUAUGUGUGAAAUAAGACUAUAUGUGCUCUCUUAUAUAUAUUUGCAUAUUUUCUAUGUUUUGUUGCACACAUUGCAGCAAAAGUUGACUUGUUUUAUGAUCUAGUUGCACAAAAAUUAGUUAAAAUUGCACAGGUACCGCAUCUCCCUGUUUUUUAUCCUUGUUUGUGUUGUCUUCAAGUAUUUAGAAGCUAUUUUUACAAGAGAAAUUUGGUGUGGGGGUGAAAGAGAAAGUCAAGGAGGGAGGAUCUGGACAGGAGGAGAAAAGGAUCAACCUCUUUUUUCACCCUUAUUGGUGCUGCCUGGUACUUUCUAAUCUGUCCUCCCUCUUUCUUCUUUUUUUCGCAGCAAAUUGUUCCAGACCAUUGUUAUUUCACCUUGAUUCAUCUGCCAUGGCAGCUCUGGCGAUGGAGAUCCAGAACUGGGAACCCCUUGUUUUCGUGUGGAAGAAGGUGGGGGCAGGUAGGGGCAUGGGGAGAAGAAGUUGGUGGCCAAGAGGGUGUGAGAGUUUCGAGUGCUUCAGGAGGGGAGGCAAGGGCACGCGAUAUCCUGGGGACCGCGUCCAGUGUGUGGUUGGCGCGGUCUGUAGCUGGCUUUUCUUUUUAGUGUGUAGUUUGUUGGGUUGGCGCGGGUCUGUAGCUGGCUUUCCUUUUCUGGGAUCAGGUGGACCGAAUCUUUCUUUUUCUGGUGGCCGCUCGGGAACGCUAGGGAGCAGCUGGCCGCUCCCUAGAC